AGCUCUUCCUAUUCUUUUCCAGCUGAAGGGGCAGACCUUGUCCUUUCUAUGGUGGUAUCUUACAGUAAGAAAGGGCUUGUAUGGAAGGCCCAAUAAUGGGGGUACCUGCAUACUUUCCCAACUGAUCUUGGACUUAGGCGUGCGCUCUGGACAUACAUCACAGAAAUGUGAAGGAUUAUAAGGACAAGGGAAAGAUCGGAAAAGGAUAAUACAGCCUAGGAUGUGUUUCAUAAUGCCGUGACAUAUUACAAACCUCUACAAGGUUCAACCUUACUAUGUAACACCUGCAGGACUCUGUUGUACCAUGCCCUUCUUAGUAAUUUGCUGACAUUUGGCUACUGUAAACCAAGUGCACAUCUUUUUAUGCUUUUGUACAUCCGUAUUCUCUUAAAUAAAACCUAUUAACUUGAAAA